CAUAGAAUGCCUGAUUAAAAGGAUUAUUUUGAUAGAAUAAAUUAUGUGGCUUAUGUCUCUUUUAUGA
rnacentral:tRNA from 1 species